GACGAACGCUGGCGGCGUGCCUAAUACAUGCACGUAGAACGCACAGUUUAUACCGUAGCUUGCUACACCAUAAACUGUGAGUUGCGAACGGGUGAGUAACGCGUAGGUAACCUGCCUGGUAGCGGGGGAUAACUAUUGGAAACGAUAGCUAAUACCGCAUAAUAUUGAUUAUUGCAUGAUAAUUGAUUGAAAGAUGCUAUUGCAUCACUACCAGAUGGACCUGCGUUGUAUUAGCUAGUAGGUGAGGUAACGGCUCACCUAGGCGACGAUACAUAGCCGACCUGAGAGGGUGAUCGGCCACACUGGGACUGAGACACGGCCCAGACUCCUACGGGAGGCAGCAGUAGGGAAUCUUCGGCAAUGGACGAAAGUCUGACCGAGCAACGCCGCGUGAGUGAAGAAGGUUUUCGGAUCGUAAAGCUCUGUUGUAAGAGAAGAACGGGUGUGAGAGUGGAAAGUUCACACUGUGACGGUAUCUUACCAGAAAGGGACGGCUAACUACGUG
rnacentral:rRNA from 1 species